rfam:Rhodanobacter sp. SCN 66-43 ABT18_C0005, whole genome shotgun sequence.
GGAGUCGGCCGGGCAGUCGCGUCGUUCUUCGGAACGCCGAGGAAAGUCCGGGCUCCACAGGGCAAGGUGCCAGGUAACGCCUGGGCGGCGCGAGCCGACGGAAAGUGCAACAGAGAGCAGACCGCCUAUGGCCCCGCAAGGGGAUCAGGCAAGGGUGAAACGGUGCGGCAAGAGCGCACCGCGAGUCGGGCAACCGACCGGCACGGCAAACCCCACCUGGAGCAAGACCAAAUAGGGGAACUAUGGCGUGGCCCGCGCCGUUCCCGGGUUGGUUGCUUGAGCGCGGCGGCGACGCUGCGCCUAGAGGAAUGACUGUCACGCCGCAAGGCGCACAGGACCCGGCUUACAGGCCGACUCCAUUU